UACGUAGGGGGCAAGCGUUGUCCGGAAUCAUUGGGCGUAAAGAGCGUGUAGGCGGCCCGAUAAGUCCGCUGUGAAAGUCCAGGGCUCAACCCUGGGAUGCCGGUGGAUACUGUCGGGCUCGAGUCCGGAAGAGGAGUGUGGAAUUCCUGGUGUAGCGGUGGAAUGCGUAGAGAUCCGGAAGAACACCAGUGGCGAAGGCGGCCCGCUGGGCAGUGGCUGACGCUGAAGCGCGACAGCGUGGGGAGCAAACAGG
rnacentral:rRNA from 1 species